GAGUCUAGCAUGUGCGCGAGUCAUUGGGACUCUAACGAAACCUAAAGGCGUAAUGAAAGUGAAGGUUCGCCUCGCGCGAACCGAGGGAGGAUGGACGGUCGUCAUUGGCCGUCCCGCACUCCCUGGGCGUCUCGUUCUCAUCGCGAGAAGAGGCGCACCAAGAGCGUACACGCUGGGACCCGAAAGAUGGUGAACUAUGCCUGGUCAGGACGAAGUCAGGGGAAACCCUGAUGGAGGUCCGUAGCGAUUCUGACGUGCAAAUCGAUCGUCGGAACUGGGUAUAGGGGCGAAAGACUAAUCGAACCAUCUAGUAGCUGGUUCCCUCCGAAGUUUCCCUCAGGAUAGCUGGCGCUCGCUUCUCGCGAGUCUCAUUCGGUAAAGCGAAUGAUUAGAGGCAUUGGGGUCGAAACGGCCUCAACCUAUUCUCAAACUUUAAAUGGGUGAGAUCUCCGGCUUGCUUGAACUAUGAAGCCGCGAGAUAUCGGAUCAGAGUGCCAAGUGGGCCACUUUUGGUAAGCAGAACUGGCGCUGUGGGAUGAACCAAACGCUGAGUUAAAGCGCCUAAAUCGACGCUUAUGGGAUACCAUGAAAGGCGUUGGUAACUUAAGACAGCAGGACGGUGGCCAUGGAAGUCGGA
rnacentral:rRNA from 1 species